rnacentral:lncRNA from 1 species
CCAGGGAAGGUGCGCCUGCAAGAGCGAGCCGGCCUGGCCGAGGGUGCCCGGCGGGGCCGCAGAGACCGGCGGGGCCGCAACAUCUUAGGGAACAAGCGGGCCGGGCUGCGACGGGCCGAUGGGGAGGCCCCCUCUGCCUUGCCCUACUGUUACUUCCUGCAGAAGGAUGCAGAGGCCCCCUGGCUCAGCAAGCCUGCCUACGACAGCGCCGAGUGCCGCCACCACGCUGCCGAGGCCCUGCGGGUGGCCUGGUGCCUCGAAGCUGCCUCCCUGUCUCACCGACCCGGUCCUCGGUCUGGCCUGUCCGUGUCCAGCCUGAGACCCAAGUAGGAGAAACGUGCUGGGUGGGCACCCAGCCUGGGCUGUGGGCACAGGGACAGCCAUCCCAGGCUGGGGCUCCUCCAGCUUCCUCCCCUGCCCACCUGGGGUGGGGGCUCCCCGAGACCCGUGGGCCCAGCAGAGUUGAAUGCAGGAGCAGGCUGAGUAAAGAAAAAUGGCUACAAACUUCCUAGCACAUGAGAAGAUCUGGUUCGACAAGUUCAAAUAUGACGACGCAGAAAGGAGAUUCUACGAGCAGAUGAACGGGCCUGUGGCAGGUGCCUCCCGCCAG